GGGGACGUGGGGGCGGGAGGGGCAGGAAUGCGGGGGUGGUAUGGGUGAAGCGGAAGUACGGGGCGGCAAGCGAACGCUGGCGGAUGGAUAAGUGGUAUGGGGAGGAGCCGGGCUCAACGUGGGAGUUGCAUUUAAAACGGUCCAGCGAGAGGGGUGUAGAGGGGGGUAGAAUUCCGGGGGUAGCGGUGAAAUGCGUAGAGAUCGGGAGGAAUAGCGGGGGCGGAGGCGGCCCCCUGGACAAAGACUGACGCUCAGUUGCGAAAGCGAGGUGAGCAAACAGGAUUAGAGACCCUAGUAGUC
rnacentral:rRNA from 1 species